AAAGAAAAUUAAGUAGCAAUGUAAAGAAAAAAAACAACGUAAAAUAAAAGUUCCUUAAUUUCAAAAAAGGAACACAUGCACACACGCACAUAUACGUAUAGGGGAAAAACACAUAUGAAGACAAAUCAAAGAAAAUACACGUACGUCAAAGCUUUCUACUUUUGCUCCUCUUAAAAUCUGGAAGCUCACAUAGGCAACUGCAGUUCCUGG
rnacentral:lncRNA from 1 species